GAUGAAGAACGCAGCGAAAUGCGAUAAGUAAUGUGAAUUGCAGAAUUCCGUGAAUCAUCGAAUCUUUGAACGCACAUUGCGCCCCCUGACAUUCCGGGGGGCAUGCCUGUCCGAGCGUCAUUUCUGCCCUCAAGCACGGCUUGUGUGUUGGGUGUGGUCCCCCCGGGGACCUGCCCGAAAGGCAGCGGCGACGUCCGUCUGGUCCUCGAGCGUAUGGGGCUCUGUCACUCGCUCGGGAAGGACCUGCGGGGGUUGGUCACCACCAUGUUUUACCACGGUUGACCUCGGAUCAGGUAGGAGUUACCCGCUGAACUUAAGCAUAUCAAUAAGCGGAGGA
rnacentral:misc_RNA from 1 species